GGUAAGAGUGGUGAAAAGGGAAUCAGGUGUAAGUCCUGAACAGACCCGCUGCUGUAAGCUCCGCCAAAAGUUUUCCCGCAAGACUCAAAUCCACUGUCUCGCUUUAGAGAGAUGGGAAGGGCGUUGGGAAGAUGGAGUAAGUCAGAAGACCUGCCAGAAUUGAA
rnacentral:ncRNA from 1 species